rnacentral:rRNA from 1 species
UAGAGUUUGAUCAUGGCUCAGAUUGACCGUUGGCGGCAUGCUUAACACAUGCAAGUCGAACGCGAACGGGCUUCGGCCCAAGUAGAGUGGCGGACGGGUGAGUAAUGCGUGGGAAUCUACCCUCGAGCGGGGGACAACCCGGGGAAACCCGGGCUAAUACCGCAUACGUCCUACGGGAGAAAGCGGGCCUCUACACUAUGCUCGCACUCGAGGAUGAGCCCACGUCCGAUUAGCUAGUUGGUAGGGUAACGGCCUACCAAGGCCACGAUCGGUAGCUGGUCUGAGAGGAUGAUCAGCCACACUGGGACUGAGACACGGCCCAGACUCCUACGGGAGGCAGCAGUGGGGAAUAUUGGACAAUGGGCGCAAGCCUGAUCCAGCAAUGCCGCGUGUGUGAAGAAGGCCUGCGGGUUGUAAAGCACUUUCAGUGGGGAAGAACGGAUACGGGCCAAUACCCCGCAUCACUGACGUUACCCACAGAAGAAGCACCGGCUAACUCCGUGCCAGCAGCCGCGGUAAUA